rnacentral:rRNA from 1 species
UACGGGAGGCAGCAGUGGGGAAUAUUGCACAAUGGGCGCAAGCCUGAUGCAGCCAUGCCGCGUGUAUGAAGAAGGCCUUCGGGUUGUAAAGUACUUUCAGUCGUGAGGAAGGUGUUAAGGUUAAUAACCUUAGCAAUUGACGUUAGCGACAGAAGAAGCACUGGCUAACUCCGUGCCAGCAGCCGCGGUAAUACGGAGGGUGCGAGCGUUAAUCGGAAUUACUGGGCGUAAAGGGCACGCAGGCGGUUAAUUAAGUUGGAUGUGAAAUCCCCGGGCUUAACCUGGGAAUGGCAUUCAAGACUGGUUAGCUAGAGUCUUGUAGAGGGGGUUAGAAUUCCAUGUGUAGCGGUGAAAUGCGUAGAGAUGUGGAGGAAUACCGGUGGCGAAGGCGGCCCCUGGGACAAAGACUGACGCUCAUGUGCGAAAGCGUGGGGAGCAAACAGGAUUAGAUACC